rnacentral:sRNA from 1 species
GCCAGGUGUGUGGUGGCAUGCACCUGUCAUCCCAGCAUUCAGGAGGCAGAGACUGGAGGAUCGCUUGAGCUCAGGGGUUUGAGACCAGCCUGGGCAUCACAGUGAUACUCCUCUCCU